GGGUGGGGCCUGUAGCUCAGAGGAUUAGAGCACGUGGCUACGAACUACGGUGUCGGGGGUUCUGAAUCCCUCCUCGCCCA
rnacentral:tRNA from 1 species